AUUGAACGCUGGCGGCAGGCCUAACACAUGCAAGUCGAAUGGUAACAGGAAACAGCUUGCUGUUUCGCUGACGAGUGGCGGACGGGGGAGUAAUGUCUGGGAAACUGCCUGAUGGAGGGGGAUAACUACUGGAAACGGUAGCUAAUACCGCAUAACGUCGCAAGACCAAAGAGGGGGACCUUCGGGCCUCUUGCCAUCAGAUGUGCCCAGAUGGGAUUAGCUAGUAGGUGGGGUAACGGCUCACCUAGGCGACGAUCCCUAGCUGGUCUGAGAGGAUGACCAGCCACACUGGAACUGAGACACGGUCCAGACUCCUACGGGAGGCAGCAGUGGGGAAUAUUGCACAAUGGGCGCAAGCCUGAUGCAGCAAUGCCGCGUGUAUGAAGAAGGCCUUCGGGUUGUAAAGUACUUUCAGCGGGGAGGAAGGGAGUAAAGUUAAUACCUUUGCUCAUUGACGUUACCCGCAGAAGAAGCACCGGCUAACUCCGUG
rnacentral:rRNA from 1 species